UUUUUGGUUCACUCAAGGAUUGUCCUGCAGAUGGCUUCCCUUUUUAACUUAGCAGCACGGCAGCAGCAUAGGUAAACCUGAUUACUUAGGCAUGCUUUUGGUUUGCAGGACCAUACCUGUUAAUGACCCAGACCUCUCAGUUCAGCAUGGGCAAACUUUCCCUCUGUAUUCCCGGCUGUACUGACGAGCCCAACAUUGAAAAUUGGUGAAAGCAACCCUCAGUGCUGCAUUGAAGAGGCAUUGCCAUUUGCAAUGUAACAAGGUUUCGUGGCCAUUCUGCUGCAACCAGAAAGCGUAGAACAUCACUGGAGAAGCGCUUCUACUGCUGCCACCACUGUGGCUA